rnacentral:pre_miRNA from 1 species
AGCACAAUUGCUGGAUCAUAUGGUAAGGGUAUAUUUAAUUUUGUAAGAAACUGCCAAAUUAUCUUCCAAAGUGGCUAUACUAUUUUGCAUUCCUACCAGCAAU